rnacentral:rRNA from 1 species
AUUGAACGCUGGCGGCAUGCCUUACACAUGCAAGUCGAACGGUAACGGGCCUUCGGGUGCCGACGAGUGGCGAACGGGUGAGUAAUGUAUCGGAACGUGCCCAGUAGUGGGGGAUAGCCCGGCGAAAGCCGGAUUAAUACCGCAUACGACCUACGGGUGAAAGGGGGGGAUCGCAAGACCUCUCGCUAUUGGAGCGGCCGAUAUCAGAUUAGGUAGUUGGUGGGGUAAAGGCCUACCAAGCCUGCGAUCUGUAGUUGGUCUGAGAGGACGACCAGCCACACUGGGACUGAGACACGGGCCAGACUCCUACGGGAGGCAGCAGUGGGGAAUUUUGGACAAUGGGGGCAACCCUGAUCCAGCAAUGCCGCGUGCAGGAAGAAGGCCUUCGGGUUGUAAACUGCUUUUGUCAGGGAAGAAAUCCUCUGGGUUAAUACCUCGGGGGGAUGACGGUACCUGAAGAAUAAGCACCGGCUAACUACGUGCCAGCCGCCGCGGUAACAC